rnacentral:rRNA from 1 species
AGAUUAAGCCAUGCAUGUCCAAGUACGAGCUAUGUUAAAGUGAAACCGCGAAUGGCUCAUUAAAUCAGUUAUGGUUCCUUAGAUGAAUGGCAGUUACAUGGAUAACUGUGGUAAUUCUAGAGCUAAUACAUGCAACGUAGUCCCGACUGUGAUGGGAAGGACGCUUUUAUUAGAUCAAAACCAAUCGGACGCUCCGGCGUCCGCUGGCCUUGGUGACUCUGAAUAAAUCUUGGCUGAUCGCACGGUCUCUGUACCGGCGACGGGUCUUUCAAAUGUCUGCCUUAUCAACUGUCGAUGGUAGGUUCUGCGCCUACCAUGGUUGUAACGGGUAACGGAGAAUCAGGGUUCGAUUCCGGAGAGGGAGCCUGAGAAACGGCUACCACAUCCAAGGAAGGCAGCAGGCGCGCAAAUUACCCACUCCCGGCACGGGGAGGUAGUGACGAAAAAUAACGAUACGGGACUCAUCCGAGGCCCCGUAAUCGGAAUGACAACACUUUAAAUCCUUUAAGAAGUAUCAAUUGGAGGACAAGUCUGGUGCCAGCACCCGCGGUAAUUCCAGCUCCAAUAGCGUAUAUUAAAGUUGUUGCGGUUAAAAAGCUCGUAGUCGGACUUGUGUCACACGCUGCCGGUUCACAGCCCGUCUGUGUUUAACUGGCAUGUACGUGCUGACGUCCUGCCGGCGGCCCGAUCCGAGGCGGGCGAUCAACCGGGGGGUCAUCCUCUCUUCGGAGUGGACCCCGGCGUCACCGCAUCUCUGGGGAAGGCCUAUCUUACCCGUCCCGGUGCUCUUAACCGAGUGUCUCGACGGGCCGGCACGUUUACUUUGAACAAAUUAGAGUGCUUAAAGCAGGCUUCCCUCGCCUGAAUACCGAGUGCAUGGAAUAAUGGAAUAGGACCUCGGUUCUAUUUUGUUGGUUUUAGGAAUCCCCGAGGUAAUGAUCAAUAGGGACAGACGGGGGCAUUCGUAUUGCGACGUUAGAGGUGAAAUUCUUGGACCGUAGCAAGACGAACAGGUGCGAAAGCAUUUGCCAAGAAUGUUUUCACUGAUCAAGAACGAAAGUUAGAGGUUCGAAGGCGAUCAGAUACCGCCCUAGUUCUAACCAUAAACGAUGCCAGCUAGCGAUCCGCCGAAGUUCCUCCGAUGACUCGGCGGGCAGCUCACGGGAAACCAAAGCUUUCGGGUUCCGGGGGAAGUAUGGUUGCAAAGCUGAAACUUAAAGGAAUUGACGGAAGGGCACCACAAGGAGUGGAGCUUGCGGCUUAACUUGACUCAACACGGAACAACUCACCAGGUCCGGACUUCGGGAGGAUUGACAGAUUGAGAGCUCUUUCUUGAUUCGAAGGGUGGUGGUGCAUGGCCGUUCUUAGUUGGUGAAGCGAUUUGUCUGCUUAAUUGCGAUAACGAACGAGACUCUAGCCUGCUAAAUAGUCGUACCGGAAUCCUUGGCGCUUCCGGCGAUACAUGAUCUUCUUAGAGGGACAGGCAGCAUCUAGCUGCAUGAGAUUGAGCAAUAACAGGUCUGUGAUGCCCUUAGAUGUCCUGGGCUGCACGCGUGCUACACUGAAGGAGACAGCGUGUCUUCUCUGGCCGAAAGGUCCGGGUAACCCGCUGAACCUCCUUCGUGAUAGGGAUUGGGGCUUGCAAUUGUUCCCCAUGAACGAGGAAUUCCUAGUAAGCAGGAGUCACUAGCUUCUGUUGAUUAGGUCCCUGCCCUUUGUCCACACCGCCCGUCGCUACUACCGAUUGAAUUAUUUAGUGAGGUCUUCGGACCGGUGUACGCACGUGUUUCACGUCCGUUCGUCGGAAAGAUGAUCGAACUUGAUUAUUUAGAGGAAGUAAAAGUCGUAACAAGGUUUUCGUAGGUGAACCUGCGAAAGGAUCAUUA